rnacentral:tRNA from 1 species
GUUGUGGCUCAGUGGUAGAGCGCUUGCCUAGCGCGUGUGGGACCCUGGGUUUGAUCCUCAGCAGCA